rnacentral:rRNA from 1 species
CCUACGGGGUGCAGCAGUGAGGAAUAUUGGUCAAUGGACGAGAGUCUGAACCAGCCAAGUAGCGUGAAGGAUGACUGCCCUAUGGGUUGUAAACUUCUUUUAUAUGGGAAUAAAAUGUUCCACGUGUGGGAUUUUGUAUGUACCAUAUGAAUAAGGAUCGGCUAACUCCGUGCCAGCAGCCGCGGUAAUACGGAGGAUCCGAGCGUUAUCCGGAUUUAUUGGGUUUAAAGGGGGCGUAGGUUGAUUGUUAAGUCAGUUGGGAAAGUUUGCGGCUCAACCGUAAAAGUGCAGUUGAAACUGGCAGUCUUGAGUACAGUAGAGGUGGGCGGAAUUCGUGGUGUAGCGGUGAAAUGCUUAGAUAUCACGAAGAACUCCGAUUGCGAAGGCAGCUCACUGGACUGCAACUGACACUGAGGCUCGAAAGUGUGGGUAUCAAACAGGAUUAGAUACCCUAGUAGUC